rnacentral:misc_RNA from 1 species
ACUGAAGUUAAAUGAAAAGUUUAGGGAUUGUAAGUGAAAUUAAGUCUGUUGAUGUCAAAGAGACUGGUAAUAUAGCUGUCUGGUAAAGUCUACCAAGCUAAUUGGUGAGUAGUUUUGGAUCAGGGUGUCCAACUAAAAAAUGUAGCAUGAUCUUGUUGGUGGUUAUUUUUGUCCAUCAAUGUUCACACAGGGUCUUGUGUUGCCAACAAAUGUCCUUCACAGAGGUUGUAGUUAAGCAACAAGUGGAGGAUCUUACCUUGGUUAAUGUUGCAAUGCAAUCCAUGAUUCUUUACUUUUUUUAUGAGCUGAGAUAUUUUAGUUAGUACAUGCUUUUGCAAUGCAUUAACUUAAAAAUGGAUUUUUCAAAUUGAUAAUAAUGAUCAGGCAUUUGUUAUAUUCUUUAAAG